UAUCCACUCCCUCCGUCCGAAAAAACUUGUUCCAAGCUUGUUCCUCAAAUGGAUGUAUCUAGCACUAACUUGGUGCUAGAUACAUCCAUUUUAGGGACAAACUUUUUCGAAUGGAUGGAGUAUUAA
rnacentral:pre_miRNA from 1 species